AGAGUUUGAUCCUGGCUCAGGAUGAACGCUGGCGGCGUGCCUAAUACAUGCAAGUCGAACGGGGAGUACUUACUUUGGUUUUUACUCCUAGUGGCGAACGGGUGAGUAACGCGUUGGUGACCUGCCCCGAAGCGGGGGAUAACAGUUCGAAAGGACUGCUAAUACCCCAUGUGGUCGUACAGGUUAGAGACUGAACGACUAAAGGAGCAAUCCACUUCGGGAGGGGCCUGCGUCCCAUCAGCUAGUUGGUAAGGUAACGGCCUACCAAGGCGAUGACGGGUAGGGGACCUGAGAGGGUGGUCCCCCACACUGGCACUGAAACACGGGCCAGACACCUACGGGUGGCAGCAGUAGGGAAUAUUGCACAAUGGGCGAAAGCCUGAUGCAGCAACGCCGCGUGCGCGAAGAAGGCCUUCGGGUUGUAAAGCGCUUUUCUGGAGGAAGAGGAAGGACGGUACUCCAGGAAUAAGGAUCGGCUAACUACGUGCCAGCAGCCGCGGUAACACGUAGGAUCCGAGCGUUAUCCGAAUUUACUGGGCGUAAAGCGCGUGUAGGCGGCCGGGUAAGUUGGACGUGAAAGCUCCUGGCUCAACUAGGAGAGGUCGUUCAAAACUGCCUGGCUAGAGGGCGACAGAGGGAGGUGGAAUUCCCGGUGUAGUGGUGAAAUGCGUAGAUAUCGGGAGGAACACCAGUGGCGAAGGCGGCCUCCUGGGUCGCCCCUGACGCUCAGACGCGAAAGCUAGGGGGGCAAACGGGAUUAGAUACCCCGGUAGUCCUAGCUGUAAACGAUGUGGACUUGGCGUUGGUGGGGUCAAAUCCAUCAGUGCCGUAGCUAACGCGAUAAGUCCACCGCCUGGGGACUACGACCGCAAGGUUAAAACUCAAAGGAAUUGGCGGGGGCCCGCACAAGCAGCGGAACGUGUGGUUUUAAUUCGAUGCUACACGAAGA
rnacentral:rRNA from 1 species